UACGGGGGGAGCAAGCGUUGUUCGGAUUUACUGGGCGUAAAGGGCGCGUAGGCGGCCACCGCAAGUCGAACGUGAAAUCCCCGGGCUCAACCCGGGAACUGCGUCCGAUACUGGAAGGCUUGAAUCCGGGAGAGGGAUGCGGAAUUCCAGGUGUAGCGGUGAAAUGCGUAGAUAUCUGGAGGAACACCGGUGGCGAAGGCGGCAUCCUGGACCGGUAUUGACGCUGAGGCGCGAAAGCCAGGGGAGCAAACGGG
rnacentral:rRNA from 1 species